UACGUAGGGUGCAAGCGUUAAUCGGAAUUACUGGGCGUAAAGCGUGCGCAGGCGGCUUUGCAAGACAGGUGUGAAAUCCCCGGGCUUAACCUGGGAACUGCAUUUGUGACUGCAUAGCUAGAGUACGGCAGAGGGGGAUGGAAUUCCGCGUGUAGCAGUGAAAUGCGUAGAUAUGCGGAGGAACACCGAUGGCGAAGGCAAUCCCCUGGGCCUGUACUGACGCUCAUGCACGAAAGCGUGGGGAGCAAACAGG
rnacentral:rRNA from 1 species